rnacentral:rRNA from 1 species
GGACUACCAGGGUAUCUAAUCCUGUUUGAUCCCCACGCUUUCGUGUAUGAGUGUCAAUAUUGGACCAGGUCGCCGCCUUCGCCGCCGGUGUUCCUCCAGAUAUCUACGUAUUUCACCACUACACCUGGAAUUCCACGACCCUCUUCCAUAUUCAAGUCUUGCAGUUUUGAAUGCACUUCCCGGGUUAAGCCCGGGGCUUUCACAUCCAACUUGCAAGACCACCUGCACACGCUUUACGCCCAAUGAUUCCGAACAACGCUAGGACCCCCCGUCUUACCGCGGCUGCUGGCAC